rnacentral:tRNA from 1 species
UGGCUCAGAUGGUAAAGCGUCUGUCUGCAGUACAGGAGACCCGGGUUUGAUCCCUGG